GGCGCCAAGGCCGACGACAGGAGGAUUCUGGGAUUGGAGUUGGACAAGGACCACCAUUCCGUCUUCGUGGCGUUCCCAGGAUGCGUGGCCCGAGUGCCCCUCAGCCGCUGCGAGGGCUACGGCAAGUGCAAACGGGCGUGCAUCGGCUCGCGGGAUCCGUACUGCGGUUGGCUCAGGUCAGGUCGUUGUGUCACCCUCCACCCUGGUACCAGGGGUGGAUACCAACAGGACGUGGAGCAUGGCAAGAUCCAACACAUGGACCGGUGCGAGGG